rnacentral:lncRNA from 1 species
CUCUCUGUCUCGUAACCUGGCUCCUCUCUCUCCACGAUCCCCUCUCCCUCGCCGCCGCCACCACCCACGCCGGCCUAUUCCGGUGAGCUCCGACAACGGGAAGCACUCCCCCGAGCUCCCCAAGCUCCACGCCUCCUUCCCCUUCGUCCAGAAUCCGCGCUCCCGCCCUUCAUUGUUCCCCGUGGCUAGCUAGGGUUUCGACCGCCACCUCAUCUCCGGCGACGGCGAGUCCAGCAGCCUGCGGAUCCGGCACCGGGCUAUCCCAGGUUGGUAGUUCCACUCAUUCCUUGCACAAAUUCUCCCUCC